rnacentral:misc_RNA from 1 species
GAAAUGCGAUAAGUAGUGUGAAUUGCAGAAUUCAGUGAAUCAUCGAAUCUUUGAACGCACAUUGCACUUCCUGGUAUUCCGGGGAGUAUGCUCGUUUCAGAAUCAUUUAUAACCUCACAACCUUUCUUUGUUUGUUCAAGGAAAGCAAGUGAAUUUGUGCGCUUUUGCCAAUGAACCGGGCAAUCGCAUUAAAAUGAUUGUGUGCUGUAAGCGUGUUAAAACCAUUCUUGACUAACAAUGCUACAAAUCUUUGAAACAUUGUUGGCCAAAGUGUGAUGAGACUGUUUAUGUGCCACCCCAAAGCAACACAGACUCGGAGGGCAGUCGCAAUCCGGGUCUGAAAACUUGGUCUGAAAUCGAGCAAGAAAACCCGCUGAACUUAA